AUUGAACGCUGGCGGCAGGCCUAACACAUGCAAGUCGAGCGGAUGAAGGGAGCUUGCUCCUGGAUUCAGCGGCGGACGGGUGAGUAAUGCCUAGGAAUCUGCCUGGUAGUGGGGGAUAACGUCCGGAAACGGGCGCUAAUACCGCAUACGUCCUGAGGGAGAAAGUGGGGGAUCUUCGGACCUCACGCUAUCAGAUAAGCCUAGGUCGGAUUAGCUAGUUGGUGGGGUAAAGGCCUACCAAGGCGACGAUCCGUAACUGGUCUGAGAGGAUGAUCAGUCACACUGGAACUGAGACACGGUCCAGACUACUACGGGAGGCAGCAGUGGGGAAUAUUGGACAGUGGGCGAAAGCCUGAUCCAGCCAUGCCGCGUGUGUGAAGAAGGUCUUCGGAUUGUAAAGCACUUUAAGUUGGGAGGAAGGGCAGUAAGUUAAUACCUUGCUGUUUUGACGUUACCAACAGAAUAAGCACCGGCUAACUUCGUG
rnacentral:rRNA from 1 species